AGACAGUAGGGAUGCACCAUGCAUGCCUAGAAGACAGCAUGUGCUGAUUAUUAAUGGAAAUUACAAUCACACUCCAUGGUGCUAGACGACACCAUGCAUUCUAGACAUGCAUGCCUAGACGACAGCAUGUGCUGAUUAUUAAUGGAAAUUACAAUCACACUCCAUGGUGCUAGACGACACCAUGCAUUCUAGACAUGCAUGCCUAGACGACAGCAUGUGCUGAUUAUUAAUGGAAAUUACAAUCACACUCCAUGCCUGCAGAAUAUUCUAGGGAUGCACCAUGCAUGCCUAGACGACAGCAUGUGCUGAUUAUUAAUGAAAAUAACAAUCACACUCCAUGCCUGCAGAAUAUUCUAGCUUAGAUAGGCCGGUUAUUGUACAUCCAUGUAAAUGGCCCAGAAACUAUGAAAGACAUGAAUUUUGGAAGCCCUGACCUUGUUCAAAUCUAAAAUCACAAAUAAAAAAAAAAGAAGCUAAAUUUCAGAAUCAAAUCAAUUCAUGUUGAAGGACUGGUAGAAGGAUCAGUUUUCGUUCAAGACGAAUCCUCCUCGACACAGUCAAUCCCUAAACAACUAUCUUAUAUGGCUACAGCAGGAGUGCAUUUACUAUUGGAAAAUUUUAACUUAUCCAUUAUUUUUUAAGAAAGCAGAAAACUAUUCAAUAAUGUGUUCACUGGAUAGAAUUUUGUCAGAAAUCCAGGCUUCCUAUUUCUUAAAAAAAAUCUGAAAACUUUAGAGCUACAACAUACAUUUUUCAUGUUUUCUACUUUGUUUUUAGGGAAAAGAGAAUCCACUUCGGAAUAUAGUGGUCCUCAUAGGAAUGCUUCUCGAAAAAAACCUUGUGUUAUUUUAAAGGAGCCAAAAGAGGUCCCCAUUUUCUAGUUAGAAAAAUAAAAAUAAUAGAUAAAAACAU
rnacentral:lncRNA from 1 species